AAGUCAUUGGAUGUUGGCAAUACUAAACAUUUAAACAACUACUUGCUAUUAUCAUGAUUCCUUAAGGCUUAGCAAUGACAAUCAGCAGUCGAGGCAAAUUAUUGAUAUGGAAAUGGUGCCACCAUAAGGGUUAAACUCAACUGGGUCAAGUCUAAGUGUCCAUGUUAGCCGGGAAGUACUGAAUGUGGCUAUUAUGUGAGGAAGUUCAUGAAGGAGAUAGCUUAUGAAGGAGUUGAAAUACUUGACAAUGACAAUGUUGUGGAAGGAGUAGAGGAAUACUCAAAUGCGGAUGACAUUCGCGAAGAUUGGUUGACUUCUGCGGUUACUUCUAUUUUUAAGUGACAACCGGAUUUUAGGCGUUGACGAAUGUAUCGACAAACAAUUCCUUUUUUGUUUACGUUAAAAUAUUUGUAGUAUAUUAGACAAAAGAUUAUGUAAUGAGUUGUUUUGGUAUAUAUAUGGGUUU
rnacentral:lncRNA from 1 species